rnacentral:lncRNA from 1 species
UUGGAGAUCCCCGGUUUUCAUGUGUCCCUUUGUCCAUCUCUCACAGUUGACCGCUCCUUGCAAAACCUGUCCCUGGCCCAAUCCCUCUCCCUGAACCUGAAGAACCACUACAGCCUGGACGUCCCACCUGCCGUCCACCACCCACCCCGCCAGGCAUCCCCUGGGCAAGGCCCCGUGGCCCCCGGCUCGCUGCCCAACCCUGGGCCCCCAGGGACUCCUACCUCAACCUCGUCAGCCUGGACAGGGGCAGCCACCGCUACAGCAGCAAGGAGGGGGACGAGUGCCUGGCGGUGCUGAGGAGGGCAGGAUGGGCUCAGCCGGCGCGUGGAGGGCUCCGAGGUCAGUGACUUCGCCCUGCUCAACGGGAGCAGCCGCCAGAAGGUGGAUGACACAGACAGAGGGGACGAGGACAGGCGCCAGCCACCCAUUCCCAAGCUCAACCCGCCACCGCCCAUCCUACGCAAAAGGUCAAGCAAGACCUCCCCGAGCCUGGAGGUGGAGGUGAAGCCUGAGAGCGCUGCCAGCCUGAGCCUGCCCAGUGCCAGCAUCUCCAGCCUCACCAGCAUCACUGCCAGCUCCCUCACCCUCUUGGACUCUGAGGCGAGGACUCCCGCACGGAGCGCUGCCUCCAGCACGGAGCCCGGCCCUGCUGGGACGUGCCAACGCAGCCUGGGCAAGGACAGGACUGGAGAGAGCGGGCCAAUGUCCCCCUUGGCCAGCAUCCGUGACCCAGCAGCCAGCGAGGCCCUGGCCAAGGAGCUGGCAGCCCUGGGCAGCCCCACGGACAGCUCCCUGCCCUUCUCCCCUGCGGACGACACCUGCUUGCACAUCAGCUUCUCCGAGGAUGAGCUGGACACUGCCGUGGGGCCCAGCAGGGUCCUCUCUUAGUGGGACUGCAGUGGGUGGCAGCUGGUGGCAGCAGCCCCGGCAGCUCCGUCCACAAUCCUAUGCUGGGGUUGGGGGUCCCUGUGCCCAGGCUGCGAGGCAGGUCCCCUUGCUGUCCCCAUCCCACAUAACAGCUCCCCCCACCACCUAUGGGGCCACCGCACAGGAUGGGACCUGACCAGCCCUGCCCUUGGUCUGCACCAGCUCACACUGCCAUCCACUGUCCUGUCCCUGCUCACACAGCCAGGGAUGCUCCACGGCAGAAAAUCCCUGGGAACUGAAGGGUGGAAGCCCUGGGCAGGGCAUGGCACAGGGCUGGGGACACCCACACAGAAGGCUGUUCUGGUUCACCAGUUGCUGCCC